GUAGUCCAUUUGCAGGGGCUCUAAUUGGCGCCUUCUUUUGGCACCGCUUUCCGGGAACUGUUGGUGAAAGAGUGUUUCUUCCUGCGUCCCAGGCUUCCCAGCGGCGCCCGUUGCCGGGGAACGCAGGCGCCGUGGGAAGGGAUGGCGGGAGCGUACAGCUUAGGAGCUGGCACCUGCGUUGAAUUUGUGACGAAGGGCCCAGGCUCGGGAUGAAACAACGGAAAGGCCAAGGGCCUGGGGGCGGCCGUGGGCGCAAAAAGAGAGGUUUGAGUGACAUUUCACCGUCUACAAGCCUGCCACCUCUGGUUGAAGGGCAGUUACGCUGCUUUCUCAAACUCACUAUUAAUAAGGUUGUAUGGAAGAUUGCGAAGCCUCCUACUUCUGUACUUGUCCGAGUAAGGUGGUGGGGAGAAACAUCCGAUGGAACCCUCUUUUGUCCCAGAGAUGCAUUACAGACUGAGCCAAAAGCUGUGAGAACAACUACCCGUUACGGGAUUCGCUGUGGUCCAAAGCAGUUUACCUCGUAUCUGACAGAUAUGGCUGUGCUGGUGUUGGAAGUAAUCACCAAGUUUGAUCAUCUUCCUGUUGGCAGAGUUCAGAUCAGUGGACUUGCCCAGCUGUCUCCAACCCAUCAGAUCAAUGGGUUUUUUACCAUUGUUUCACCAGCAUCGAAGAAACUUGGAGAACUUCAGGUCUCGCUUGCCCUGGAGCCUCUGUCAGAAACUUAUGACAGCUACAAACCUCUUCCUGCCACUGAAGUGACAAAAAAUGUGCUUUUAUCUGAGCGAGAACUCAGAGAGAAUACUGAAUCCAGCAACACCCAGUCUAUGAUCCCGUCAAGGUCUUGUAGGGGACCUGCCAUCAAAAUUGAUGGGAAAGAAUUAGCAGGCCACAGCAGCAGGUCAACCACGCCAAGGGGAAAGGACCACUUGUACUUUGCAGAGAACUCCGAUGCAGUAAAGGGUUCUUUGUGUGGACUACAGCAGCACCUUAAUCAAGGGACGAAUGUAGAGACUAUAACUCUGAGGGGCAAAGCCCCACAGAAGCAGCUGUCCCUCCUGAACAGCUCUGAGUUUCAGCCACAAAUUAGUACAGUCGCCAAGAGUCACAGUGACUCAUGCAUCCUGUCUUCAAACACCCCCCCUGCAAAGGACCUUCUUUCAGCUCUGUUAGAACAAGGCAAUAAGCUGCGGAAUGCCAUGUUGAUUUCUGCAAUGAACUCCAACCCAGAUACUAGUAUGCUGCUUGACAAAGUCCCUCCUCCUAUGACAGAAGCUAUUCCCAGAUCGUCAGCACUGAACUCAUCUGAGAAUCACUUUAAAGGCCACAGUGCAGACCACCUUCUCCCCUUGGCGGACACCGGAGCUAUACAGCUGCUGUUGGGCAGUGCUGAAUUGUCCCAAGGUCAUUUCUGGAAUGGAUUAGGCUCUCCUCCAGAUUCCCCGACUCCUGGGAGUGAUGAGUACUGCAGCAGUGACCUGAAUGAUCCUCAGUAUGACCAGAGUCUGCUGGAGAACUUGUUUUACACAGUGCCUAAAUCUGAUGUCGGCACCAGUGAGCUCCCCAGUGAAGAUGAUGGAGUGGAACCUUCUAGAACAAUGAACCAGUCCAAAGCCUCUGGCAGAUCUAAGGUUGUAGAGUCAAAAGAGCAGAAGCAGAAGAGGGCAGCUGUCAAGAAAAGCAGAAACCCAAUUGACCAGCAAGAGCUCUCAAGAACUCCAGGACAUACCCCAGCGAUGUCACUAAGUGUGGAUAGACUGGCUCUUCUGGGUAGAGUACAUUCGGUCAGAAUCAUCGUUGAAACCAUGGGAGUCCCUCCAGAUAGUCCCCAUAUGACACCAAGCAGGAAGAACUUUGCCGGGAAACCACCAAAGCCAACAGCAGCAAAAAAGCGCACUUUCUUUGUGGAGUAUCACUUUCCUGUGGGCUUUUCCAAAAGUGGACUGGGAAAGACAGCUUUGAUCACUGAGGUUGUUAGACUUGCCUCCAGUAAAAUCACCGAUGGAGUGGUGAAAUUCCAGCAGCGAUUUGUGUGUCCAGUAGAGUUUGGUGGCCCGAUGAUAGAGCACUGGUGGGAUUCUAACCUCAUCUUCCAAAUUUAUGCAAAGAAAACCCCACAGAAAAAGCCAGAAGUCAUUGGAUCUGCAUCUCUCCCUUUGCGAGCUGUCAUUCAGUCAGAGCUGCUUUCUUUCAGUAGCCAGCUUCCAGUGCAACAGGAAAAUGGUCUGUCUUCACUUGGCCCCCUAAAGGUCACCAUGGAGCUUGUUUUAGGCCACAAGGAUUUCACUGGAAUCAGUGCUAAGUUAAGUAGCAGCACCCAACCUGCUCCAGUUUCUGCUGCUACAAGUUCAGAUACGAUACUACCAGAGACAGGCCAGGAUACCGCCUGUACCAGAAAUCCACAGAGCUCAAAUAAAAUUCACGAGGAAACCACAAAGAAAACACAGAAUUUAGUGCUCCCCGACCAAGAGUCAGCAAACUCUGUAGCCUCAAACUCUUCAAUCUUCAUGGCUGUGCCAUCUUGCAAUUUAGUCCAUCAAAUAAAUGGCUCAAACAAAGAAAGCGGUUUGCUGUUACAUGUGCUGUUGAUGGUGCCAGAUGGGAAAGAUUUUGUUUUUGGAGAACGGGAGAAACAACCAUCAUGCAAUGUUUAUUUGAAUUGCAAGCUUUUCAGCACAGAAGAAGUCACCAGAUCUGUCGUCUCGUGGGGCACAGCACAGCCUGUCUUUAAUUUUUCUCAGGUGAUCCCUGUCUCUCUGACUUCCAAAUGCCUGGAGAGACUUAAGAACAAUGUGAUGAUAAUUGAAACUUGGAACAAGGUGCGGAGCCCAGGACAGGACAAGCUGCUCGGGCUGGUGAAACUGCCACUCCAUCAGUUUUACAUGUCAUUCAAAGACCCCAAGAUUUCUCGCCUGCUGCUUGAUGCCAGGUACCCAGUUGUUGCUGUUGACAGCUAUAUGCCUGUGAUUGAUGUGUUCUCGGGCCACCAAAAUGGGAGUCUUCGAGUCUUUUUAGCCAUGGGUUCUUCAGCUCAGAUAAUGAUGCUGCAAAGAUUAAAGAAUGAAGAAGGAACACUCCCUCCCUUCAGUCCUAGGCCAGCCCAUUUCCUGGACCAGCCACCUGUAGCAUCUGUUGCUAUGCCAGAAAAACAAGGAACCCGGUUGAUGGAGCACCACUUUGAGUUCUGUGUGGCGAUGGUUAAAGGGCUCAUGCCCCUUCAGGCAACAGUCUGGGGAGAAGCAGAUUGCUACGUCCAGUACUACUUUCCAUUUCAAGACUCCCAACCCAGUGUGCUCCAAGGACCCGACUUCCUUGAAAAUGGAAUUACUCUGAAGCCCUUUAGAACUUCAACCACACUGUGUGUCCCAGAUCCCGUCUUUAAUAGUGAACACCAUCACUCUCUCCUGUUGCCGACUGACGUUCCAGUGCAAAGGCUCCUGCUGAGUGCCUUCUCCUCCCAGGGGCUGGUGCCUGGAGGAGGCGUCCAGUUUGAAGUCUGGUGCAGAUACUAUUAUCCUAACGUAAGGGACCAGAUGGUUGCCAAAGGAACCUUGCCAUUAUCAAGGGUCUGUGCCAUGGUAACCAUGCAGUACCGUGAAGAUGUGGGAAUGCAGAGCUUUAAUCUCCCAUUAACCUCCAGACUUGAGCACAGCAAAGAAUUAAAGAACCAGUCAUCAGGUUUCCUGGAUGUGGGUUUGAGGUACCGGCGUAGCCCAAGAACAGCAGAGGGAAUUCUUGCUGCCCGAGCUGUCUCCAUCUCAGUCCAUAUUAUCAGAGCCUGUGGUCUUCAGGCAGCAGCCAAGGCGUUGGCUGAGCAGGAACCCGCUUUACAGUUUAGCGCCACCGUUGGAGUCAAUGCUUCUGUCACCGCCCAUCUCUCAUUUCUGCCCAAGGGGGAGCAGCGCCAAACCCGCCCUGUGGCCUGCUCCUUCUGCCCUGAGUUCUCCCACCACAUUGAGUUCCCGUGUAACCUGGUGACUCAGCACUGUAGUGGAGAAGCCUGCUUCCUGGCAGAGCUGUUGGAGUUUGCAGAAAUUAUUUUUGCUAUCUAUCAUGAAAAUACCAAAUCAGUCAGUGAUAUAACCAGUAUCCAGUCGUGCAAGGAUUAUCUGCUUGGAAUAGUAAAGGUUCCAACGAAAGAUCUGCUGGUCAAAAGAUCUGGGAUCACAGGAUGGUAUCCUGUCAUUUUACCAGAAGACAAAGGCCUGCCUCAGGACCUGGACUUGAUGCAGAAGAUUGUAGGAGGCUUGGAGCUUUCUGUUUCCUUCGCACAUCCGGGAGAUAGAGAGAGGGUACUGGAAGCUGCUGAGCUGCUGGGCUGGAGCUUUGAGAGCAUCCCAAAGGAUCUUGUCAAGAAAGAAGAAGAGGUGCCAGCCACUGUCACCAUCUCUACCCCAAGGCUCUGGCUUCCUAUCCACUGUGUGCUGCUUGCUGGUCAUAUGAACAUUCAUAAGAAUACAUAUUGCUACCUUCGCUACAAGCUGUACAAUCAAGAAGCCUUUUGGACUCCUCUCAGGAAACCUAAGGAGUCUACAAACAAAAACCAGGUCCUGAUUACUUUCAAGGCAUCCAAAAGAGCAGAAGUCACUAGGAGCCAGUCCCUGCUUUGGUACUUCAGGGAAGAGAAGUUAGAGAUCCAAGUGUGGCGAGCCUAUGGCAACGACAAUUUAGAGAGGCCACACCAGACUGACAGCUGGAUUGGCUCAGCCUAUGUAGACCUGUCCAGACUUGGGGAAAAAUCUCCAAGGACACUGACUAUCAGUGGGGUGUAUCCCCUGUUUGGAAGAAAUGCUUCCGACCUCUCUGGAGCUGCUCUGCGCAUUCAUGUGCUUCUUUCCCCGCUUUCCCCACACACUGAACCUGCUCGGGAGCUGGACUCCAUGGACUGCAGCAGCCACAGUGAGUCUGAGCAGCACCCCAGAAAGAGCGAUGCGCUCCAGCUCUCUCCACCCCAUGUGCUCCAGACGUCUCCCACCUCCACCCAGGUCCACGGCAACAGUGCUGCAGCCCAAGUGUGCCCCGCCCAGGAGGGCCCUCCUGAGUUGGCUGGGACUUUUGCAGUCAGCAUCCUGGUAGAGAGAGCCAUGCAUCUGAGCUUGAAAGGGAGCCCCUUGACAGACCGGAAAGUAUCUGUACCCAGUUGCUGUGUAUCCUUUGCCACAGCCACUGAGCUGUCUCCUGUCUACACUCACGUGGUUGAAAACACGGAUUCCCCCAUCUGGGGUUUUCACCAGCAGGCAAGGCUUUCAAAAGAGCUGCUUCUGGACCCACAUCAAACCCUGGUCUUCAAAGUGUGGCAUAAAGGAGAUGAAGAGAGGGUGGUUGGCUUUGCCUCGGUGGACCUCUCCCCACUACUGUCUGGCUUUCAGUUUAUCUGUGGCUGGUACAAUAUUACAGACUUCAGUGGAGAGUGCCAAGGGCAAAUCAAAGUUGCUAUUUCACCUAUGGAGAGCCUGAUGCACCUAAAAGAAGAAAGACAAGCAAGACGUGGGAUAGAUACUCCAGGAGCACUGAUUCCAUUGUUUAGCGCCCUUUCCUUCCCUGCCUCUGCUGGAUGCGAUGCAUUCCCUAGGCCCAUUGCAAGGCACGUCGAAGGCCAGCUUGCUCACACAUCUCCAAAGGAGGACGGUCUCUCCUCUCCUGCAAGAAAUGGUGCCAUCAGAAGCCAGGCCGCACGCCAUGAAGAGCAUGUGCAGAACAUCCGCCGCUUUCACGAGUCCCUGCAGCACGGGGAGGCAGUCCUGACAAGUGAUGAGAAGCUGACCACAGCGCCUUCGUCCUCCCACACCUCCAUCCUGACUUCUCUCAGGAAGAAUCUGAGUGAGCUAGAUGAGAUCCAGAAGUACUUCAGCCAGAAGCUCAGCAAGCCCUUCCUGCCCUUCUCCUCUCAGAGCUCGCCUGCUGUCUCACAGAGCCAGGAGAGCCAGAGGGACCCUGUGGCUGCAGGAACCGGCCGCCAGGACCCCGAGAACCAGUGCAUCCUGGAGAAGUCCAAUCACCUGGUGUCGCAAGUCAGCUCCUUGAUCUCAGGUGAUUACUGACGCAAAUGGAAGCGUGAGCAUGCCCGUCAGGACCCAGCUCCCGAGAGAUCUGAGCAUGAGCACUUCCACAGAUCUGCAGACUCUCACCAGAGGUUCACAAGCAGCUUUGACUUCUCAGCAAGCCAGGAGUAGAAGCAGAGCAGUCACCACCAUCCCAGAUGCUCAGGGCACCGAAGCUGCUGGAGAAGGAAGCACCACACUGGAGGAGCCUUUGGCAGGAGCUAUAGAGGCGAGCACAGAUUCCCUGCCUCCCCCUGUUGAAGAGCCUUCCAAGGGAGGAGGGAUGCUCCAUGAGUCGCUGGAGCAGACGAUGCCCAUCACGAGGGUGCAGAGCAUCGAUGACACGGAGGUGGGCCCAGACUACAGUGAUGAAGACUAUGAGGAAGACAUUAUUGAGCCCAGGACCCUAAAUGAAAUAACCACAGUGACAGACAGAACCAGCCCCUGGUCCAGUUUCAUGUCAGACAUGAGUGAGGUCCUUAGCCCUCAGCCCACUGAGGUACAAAGGGAAGGCCCCUCAUGUCCCCCAGAACCUUUCCCCAGAGAGGAGCUGAAGGUCAAAAGUAGCCCGCAAAAGGCAGUCAGCCCCCAGCCUGCACAGGGCUCCCCUAGCCAAAGUGGUGUUUGUGAGGGUGGAGCCUAUAAGAUCGAGGUUGAAGACCUUGCCUCAGCCAAGCCUCAGCCUGUCCCAAGCCUAACAUUCUCAGAAGCCCAAGAGGGCAGCGAUUCUGUUGGAUGGCGUGCAUCACAGAUAAAUCAGGUCAGGAAGCCCAUGCCAGAGAUGCUGGCUGAGAGUGAGGCUUUCUCCAGUGAGUUCAGUGACUCUUCUGAAAGCUUUGAGACGUUUCCUCUACACCUACCCUCCCAAAGCAAAAGAGAAGACUACAAGGACUCCCCUGCUGUGAGGCAGAAGCAGGUACCAACUGGAUCAGAGGUGUCCACAAGGCAGACGCUCCUUCUCCCAGAACCUGUUGUGGUGCCCAACUUCUUUUUGCCUCCCCAACAACUGGAGGCCUCUCUCCGCAUGAUCUCACACUCUCCAGGUUUGCCACCAGCAGCCACAACUGACCAGGACAAGAGUGAAGCCACCAGGGGAGCCCUUGCCCAGAGGCCUUGUCGCCCCAGACCUUACUCCAUCCCUCCCAACCUUCCUGAGGAAGAGACUCGCAGGAUUGCACGGAUAUUUUCUUCCCAGUAUUCCAAAAAGACUGAGGAAACCUGAGGGACGUGGCUACCAGCCAGCCUCUCAGCUCUGUAAAGCUUGCAAGAGACAACAGGCCUGUUUCCCUCAGCAUCCUCAGGCCACUAGCAUCACCCUAUUCCAUGGGUAUCUUGAGACCUAAUCAGCUAAGACCAGAGGAGUGUCCCAAACCACCUAGCAGCUGCCUACCAGGACCUCAGCUUCCUUCUGUAAUGAGGUGACUGCUGGAAGUGAGACUCAAGCACCCAAGUGUCCCACCCAUCUUCUGACUGUGGGGCCUAAGGAGGCCUCUCUGAGCAGAGAAACCAGUGUCCUUGACACAGCCUACUGCUGACCAGAGCCCACCUUCUGCUUAAAUAGGACAGGCUAUUUUUGCCAUAAAUAUUGGAAGAAACAUGGAAUAAGUAUGUACAUAGCUGAGAAAAUUCCAGAGCCCUGUCCAGCUUGUUUGUUUGGGAAUGAGGUAUUUUAUAGAUAUAAAUUAUUUUUAUGAUGUAUUAAUCAAUAGAACAGGGGAAUUGCCUCCUUUAAAACUGUAUUCGGUUGUCUGAAAUUUAACCAUGUUUUUAACAUAAUGUUUGUUUCUACUCAGCUCUGAAAUUCAUUGCUCUUGCCUUUGUUUUUAAUAAAAGUCUGGCAUUUGUA